UUGAACGCUGGCGGCAUGCUUUUACACAUGCAAGUCGAACGGUAACAGAGAGAAGCUUGCUUCUCUGCUGACGAGUGGCGAACGGGUGAGUAACAUAUCGGAACGUGUCCAAUAAUGGGGGAUAACUAGUCGAAAGAUUAGCUAAUACCGCAUACGCCCUGAGGGGAAAGCUGGGGAUCUUCGGACCUAGCGUUAAUGGAGCGGCCGAUAUCUGAUUAGCUAGUUGGUGGGUAAAAGCCUACCAAGGCGACGAUCAGUAGCUGGUCUGAGAGGAUGAUCAGCCACACUGGGACUGAGACACGGCCCAGACUCCUACGGGAGGCAGCAGUGGGGAAUUUUGGACAAUGGGCGCAAGCCUGAUCCAGCCAUGCCGCGUGAGUGAAGAAGGCCUUCGGGUUGUAAAGCUCUUUCGCAAGGAAAGAAAACUUACUCUCUAAUAUAGAGUGAGGCUGACGGUACCUUGAUAAGAAGCACCGGCUAACUACGUG
rnacentral:rRNA from 1 species